GCAGUCGAACGCGUUGGCCCGACUGAUUGAUGAUGCUUGCAUCAGAUUGACGACGGUUUACUAACGAGUGGCGGACGGGUGAGUAACACGUAGGCAACCUGCCCAGAAGCGGGGGACAACAUUUGGAAACAAGUGCUAAUACCGCAUAACAACGAAAACCGCCUGGUUUUCGUUUAAAAGAUGGUUUCGGCUAUCACUUCUGGAUGGGCCUGCGGCGCAUUAGCUAGUUGGUAAGGUAACGGCUUACCAAGGCAGUGAUGCGUAGCCGAGUUGAGAGACUGAUCGGCCACAAUGGAACUGAGACACGGUCCAUACUCCUACGGGAGGCAGCAGUAGGGAAUCUUCCACAAUGGGCGCAAGCCUGAUGGAGCAACACCGCGUGAGUGAAGAAGGGUUUCGGCUCGUAAAACUCUGUUGUUGAAGAAGAACGUGCGUGAGAGUAACUGUUCACGCAGUGACGGUAUUCAACCAGAAAGUCACGGCUAACUACGUGCCAGCAGCCGCGGUAAUACGUAGGUGGCAAGCGUUAUCCGGAUUUAUUGGGCGUAAAGCGAGCGCAGGCGGUUUUCUAAGUCUGAUGUGAAAGCCUUCGGCUUAACCGGAGAAGGGCAUCGGAAACUGGAUAACUUGAGUGCAAGAGAGGACAGUGGAACUCCAUGUGUAGCGGUGGAAUGCGUAGAUAUAUG
rnacentral:rRNA from 2 species